AAUUGCCAUAUCCCCAGCUGAUAGUUAGGCUGCCCAGGAUCCCAGUGUUAUAAACUCCCUAUUUUCUCUGGCCUCUUUCACAGAUGCAUCUUCAUAUACAGUGACAAUUGCAUCAGUGCCAUUACCUUUGGCUAGAAAAGCCUGAAAAGUGAAAUCAUUGGUAGCCAAAGGCAACAUAAUCAGCUGUCUUCGUUACUUAUAGAAUACAUGGGGUUUGUGUGUAGAGAAAUUGCGGAGGUGCAAAGGGCUGACUAAUGAAAGUGCAGAAGAGACUUGCACACAAGGCAUUUGCCUCAGGAUGAGGAAGUAUGGCAUUAUCUGAAUCACACUGCACUCAGAAAUCAUCCCUCCCUGCUAUUUGGUGUCCUUCAAGAAACGAAUCCCACCCACAAGGUAUUUAAUGGACUCUUGUAAGGGGCUUCAUUAACUGAGGCUUCAAGACAUCCAAAAUGCUUUGUGCAGGCCCAGGGCUACUCAGGGAUCUCUGGAACUGCAUGUUUGCAUGGGACUGCUCCAGACUGCCUGGAUUCCACACACCCCUGCAAUAUAAACAUUAGUUAAACAGAAUAAUGGAUUACUAAUUGUCACUGAGGCCACCAUACAUAUUGAUCUGGAAUCCACCUACAUUUAAGGACAGCGCAAGAAAACACUGGAAUUUUUUUGGUC
rnacentral:lncRNA from 1 species